GGUGAUGUAGCUCAGUCUGGUUAGAGCGGCGGAUUCAUAACCCGCAGGUCGGCAGUUCGAUCCUGCCCAUCACCACCA
rnacentral:tRNA from 1 species